AGUGAACGCUGGCGGUAGGCCUAGCACAUGCAAGUCGAACGGCAGCACAGUAAGAGCUUGCUCUUACGGGUGGCGAGUGGCGGACGGGUGAGGAAUACAUCGGAAUCUACUUUUUCGUGGGGGAUAACGUAGGGAAACUUACGCUAAUACCGCAUACGACCUACGGGUGAAAGCAGGGGAUCUUCGGACCUUGCGCGAUUGAAUGAGCCGAUGUCGGAUUAGCUAGUUGGCGGGGUAAAGGCCCACCAAGGCGACGAUCCGUAGCUGGUCUGAGAGGAUGAUAGGCGGCCCUGGAACUGGAACACGGUCCAGACUCCUAAGGGAGGCAGCAGUGGGGAAUAUUGGACAAUGGGCGCAAGCCUGAUCCAGCCAUCCCGCGUGGGUGAAGAAGGCCUUCGGGUUGUAAAGCCCUUUUGUUGGGAAAGAAAAGCAGCAGGUUAAUACCCCGCUGUUCUGACGGUACCCAAAGAAUAAGCACCGGCUAACUUCGUG
rnacentral:rRNA from 1 species